rnacentral:rRNA from 1 species
AGGGUUUGAUCAUGGCUCAGGACGAACGCUGGCGGCGUGCCUCAAACAUGCAAGUCGAGCGGGGAGAGACCGAACCGUAAGGGGAGGUUGAACCCAGCGGCAAACGGGUGAGUAACACGUGGGUAACCUGCCUGGAAGAACGGGAUAACGGCUUGAAAGAGUCGCUAAUACCGUAUAAUGUCCUGGUGCUGCAUGGCACUGGGAAGAAAGGGGAAACCCGCUUUCGGAUGGGCCCGCGCCCCAUCAGUUAGUUGGUAAGGUAACGGCUUACCAAGGCAACGACGGGUAGCCGGUCUGAGAGGACGAUCGGCCACACUGGGACUGAGAUACGGCCCAGACUCCUACGGGAGGCAGCAGUUGGGAAUCUUAGGCAAUGGGCGAAAGCCUGACCUAGCGACGCCGCGUGAGGGAAGAAGGCCUUCGGGUCGUAAACCUCUGUCAUGGGGGACGAAGGAAGUGACGGUACCCCAGGAGGAAGCCCCUGCUAACUACGUGCCAGCAGCCGCGGUAAUAC